rnacentral:tRNA from 1 species
UUUUUGUGGUGUAAGUGUCACACUAGGUUUUCAUCCUAGAGGAAUAAAAAAUAUUUUAUCAAAAAUAC